CCCAAGGAGCCCGGCCCUCUUAGGAGAUGCCAACUAAGAGACAACGGCCUGGUAACGGCUGGAACUUCCCAGAUGGCGAGGUGGCCUUCUUUCACACCUGAUGCAGAUUUGCAUCCCCGGACAGCCGAGAGACGCAGAUCGAUUAUAUCUGUGGCGGAGCGCUCCAUACCAGGUGGUAAAGCCGGAUCUUAGCAGUCAGUGUCGAGUGAGCGAGGCGGUCCACUUGCAUUACGCCGAACCCCCUCGCAGAACGGCCGACGGACCCGGCUCGCCGCCCUCGUGACCCCUCCGCAAGUAUCGCAAAGCUCUGCGAUG